UAUGUAGGGGGCAAGCGUUAUCCGGAAUUAUUGGGCGUAAAGAGUACGUAGGUGGCAACCUAAGCGCAGGGUUUAAGGCAAUGGCUCAACCAUUGUUCGCCCUGCGAACUGGGAUGCUUGAGUGCAGGAGAGGAAAGCGGAAUUCCUAGUGUAGCGGUGAAAUGCGUAGAUAUUAGGAGGAACACCAGUGGCGAAGGCGGCUUUCUGGACUGUAACUGACACUGAGGUACGAAAGCGUGGGGAGCAAACAGG
rnacentral:rRNA from 1 species